rnacentral:sRNA from 1 species
UUUUGCCCCAGAUAGUAGUGGAAAGCUUCGAGAAUUAGAAAUCUAUUUUUUUUCUUGAGGCAGCAGAGCGACCAAAGGAAGCUCCUGCAGAAUCAUUAGAAAAAAAAGAUUGCUAAUCGAGAACUUGCAACGAAUAGCUGGAAUAGGC